UACAGAGGUCCCAAGCGUUGUUCGGAUUCACUGGGCGUAAAGGGUGCGUAGGCGGUCGGGUAAGUCUGAUGUGAAAUCUCACAGCUUAACUGUGAAACUGCAUUGGAUACUAUUCGGCUUGAGUGUGGCAGAGGGGGGUGGAAUUCCACGUGUAGCAGUGAAAUGCGUAGAGAUGUGGAGGAACACCGAUGGCGAAGGCAGCCCCCUGGGUCAACACUGACGCUCAUGCACGAAAGCGUGGGGAGCAAACAGG
rnacentral:rRNA from 1 species